GCUGGGCUUUCCCUGGGAAACCAAGACGACUUGAUCACGUAGUUAGAACCCAGAACAAGCACUCCGGGCUCCGGAUGCUGCAGAAAUGGACCUCUACCCGCCCAGAUGUUAGCAUUCACCGCGAAGUGUGGCGUGAAGGUGAACGCCCUGUCAAACAUCCAGCCGGAGGUCAAGGAAUUCUAAUUGAUUAUUCUGAAUAGUCUUUCAAGACCUACGAAACAAGCUUAGGCUGCUGUAGACAAACAAAAAUGGGUUUCUGCAAUUCUAAAUAAGAUGUACUGGGUGCUCUGAGAGUUAAUAAACUAAAAAAAA